rnacentral:miRNA from 11 species
AUAUAUAUAUAUAUAUGUGUGUGUGUGUGUGUGUGUGUGUGUAUAUAUAUAUACACACACAUACACACACACACAUGCACACACACACAC